AGUGAACGCUGGCGGUAGGCCUAACACAUGCAAGUCGAACGGCAGCACAGUAAGAGCUUGCUCUUACGGGUGGCGAGUGGCGGACGGGUGAGGAAUACAUCGGAAUCUACUUUUUCGUGGGGGAUAACGUAGGGAAACUUACGCUAAUACCGCAUACGACCUACGGGUGAAAGCAGGGGAUCUUCGGACCUUGCGCGAUUGAAUGAGCCGAUGUCGGAUUAGCUAGUUGGCGGGGUAAAGGCCCACCAAGGCGACGAUCCGUAGCUGGUCUGAGAGGAUGAUCAGCCACACUGGAACUGAGACACGGUCCAGACUCCUACGGGAGGCAGCAGUGGGGAAUAUUGGACAAUGGGCGCAAGCCUGAUCCAGCCAUACCGCGUGGGUGAAGAAGGCCUUCGGGUUGUAAAGCCCUUUUGUUGGGAAAGAAAAGCAGCAGGUUAAUACCCCGCUGUCCUGACGGUACCCAAAGAAUAAGCAGCGGCUAACUUCGUG
rnacentral:rRNA from 1 species